rnacentral:rRNA from 1 species
AACGAACGCUGGCGGCAUGCCUAACACAUGCAAGUCGAACGAGACCUUCGGGUCUAGUGGCGCACGGGUGCGUAACGCGUGGGAACCUGCCCUUAGGUUCGGAAUAACUCCCCGAAAGGGGUGCUAAUAUCGGAUAAUGUCUUCGGACCAAAGAUUUAUCGCGUUUGGAUGGGCCCGCGUUGGAUUAGUUAGUUGGUAGGGUAAAAGCCUACCAAGGCGAGGAUCCAUAGCUGGUCUGAGAGGAUGAUCAGCCACACUGGGACUGAGACACGGCCCAGACUCCUACGGGAGGCAGCAGUGGGGGAUAUUGGACAAUGGGCGGAAGCCUGAUCCAGCAAUGCCGCGUGAGUGAUGAAGGCCUUAGGGUUGUAAAGCUCUUUUACCCGGGAUGAUAAUGACAGUACCGGGAGAAUAAGCUCCGGCUAACUCCGUG